GCAGUGGUAGUUCAGUGGUGGAAUCCUUGCCUUCCAUACAGGAGACCCAAGUUUGAAUCCUGCCAGUGCG
rnacentral:tRNA from 1 species